rfam:Xenopus tropicalis strain Nigerian Chr01_contig_2910, whole genome shotgun sequence.
AAUGAUGAUGAUAAUGUAAUGUGGUGAUUGCUCUGUUUCACUAAAAUGGGGUAGGGUACUGGCACUAUUCACUGCAAAGAGGUAUACUCCUCAUAAAUGGAUAAAAUUGUCCUUAUGA